AAUGAACGCUGGCGGCAUGCCUAACACAUGCAAGUCGAACGAGACCUUCGGGUCUCGUGGCGCACGGGUGCGUAACGGCUGGGAACCUGGCCUUAGGUUCGGAAUCACCCGCCGGAAGGGGUGAUAAUACCGGAUAAUGUCUUAGGACCAAAGAUUUAUCGCGUUUGUAUGGGCGCGCGUUGGAGUAGCUAGUGGGUAGGGAAAAAGGCUAUCAAGGGGACGAGACAUAGAUGGUCUGAGAGUAUGAUAAGACACACUGGGGCUGAGACGCGGCGCAGACUCCUGCGGGACGCAGGGGUGGAGAAUAUUGCAAUGGGGGCGAAAGCCUGAUGCAGCAGUGCCGCGUGAGUAAUGAAGGCCUUAGGGGUGUAAAGCUCUUUUACCCGGGAAGAUAAUGACGGUACCGGGAGAAUAAGCACCGGCUAACUCCGUG
rnacentral:rRNA from 1 species